ACUAUAUGCGAUGGAUAUCUUGGCUCUUGAUUCGAUGAAGAACGCAGCGAAAUGCGAUAGGUAAUGCGAAUUGCAGAACUCUGUGAGUCAUCAAAUUUUUGAACGCAUAUUGCACUUCCUUUGGGAGUAUACUUGUUUGAGUAUUGUUUGAUUGGUUUAACUAGAGAUAGUUGAAUUGGGAUAAUAUGUUAUGUAUCCUUGAGGAAAUGUUUUUGUAUGAUGAGCAUUGUAUUUGAUGAGGUAGUUACCACAUUGAAUGGAGUGUUUGUGAUACAAGAGACGUUGAUAGUAUCUCACCAUCUCGUCGGGCUUCGCCCUCCUCGAUAAAUCAAUCUCAAAUCAAGUAAGAAGACCUGCUGAAUUGAAGCAUCUAAUUAAGCAGAGGAAAAGAAAAUAACAAUGAUUCUCUUAGUAACGGCGAGUGAAUAGGGAAUAGCCCAAGCCUGAAUCGACCUAGUCGAGUUGUGGUGUGUAUAGUAUUUGAGAAUGAAUGGUAUUGGAUAUAAUUUGGCUGGAAAGUCAAGUCAUAGAAGGUGAAAGCCCUGUAUAUGAUUCAAUAUUGUUCAAGCAUUGAAUACUAUUGGAGUCGAGCUGUUUGGGAUUGCAGCUCUAAGUUGGUGGUGAACUCCAUCAAAGGCUAAAUAUGAUCAAGAGACCGAUAGCGAACAAGUACCGUGAGGGAAAGAUGAAAAGAACUUUGAAAAAAGAGUGAAAUAGUACUUGAAAUCGUAUAUAGGUUAAGCGAAGAUUGUGUGUAGAUUGUAUGCAAUGUGCUGGUUAUCAUAGAUGAUUGGUUUAUUGUGUAUGAUAUGGGUGUGUAGGUUGUGAUUGGUCAAAGUUUGACUGCCCACGACCCCCCCACCCCACCACACACUCUUCGUCCCGUCUUGAAACACGGACCAAGGAGUCUAUCCUUUAUGCAAGUAGUAUGGUGUUAAACCAAUAUGCAUAAUGAAAGUAAGAGGUGUGAAACUGUAAAGUGUCAACAUCUGCCGAUCAUAAUUCUUUGAUGAAAGAUUCGAGUAUGAGCAUAUAGGGUGGGACCCGAAAGAUGGUGAACUAUGCCUGAAUAGGACGAAGCCAGGGGAAACUCUGGUGGAGGUUCGAUUGGAUUCUAACGUGCAAAUUGAUCUUUAAAUUUGGGUAUAGGGGCGAAAGACUAAUCGAACCAUCUAGUAGCUGGUUCAUUCCGAAAUUUCCCUCAGGAUAGCUGCAACUUUUGAAAUAGUUUUAUGAGGUAAAGCGAAUGAUUAGAGGUUUCUGGGAUGGAAUAUCCUGGACCUAUUCUCAAACUUUCAAUGGGUAAGAAAUCGGGGAUGUUUAAUUAAUCUCUGAGUUUGAAUAUGAGUUGCAAGUGGGCCAUUCCGGGUAAGCUGGACUGGCAAUGCGGGAUCAACCGAACGCUAUGUUACGGUGCCUUAUUAUUCGCUCAGUUCGAUGUAAAAGGUGUUAGUUCAUCUAGACAGCAGGACGGUGGCCAUGGAAGUCGGAAUCCGCUAAGGAGUGUGUAACAACUCACCUGCCGAAUGAAGUAGCCCUGAAAAUGGAUGGCGCUAAAGCGAAUAACCUAUACAUAGCCAACACAAUUAGGAUUGUAUGGUGUUGAGUAGGAAUGCGUGAUGAAUGUUGUGAAGUAUAUCGUGUGAACGAAUAUGGAACAUUCAUUAGUGCAGAUCUUGGUGGAAGUAGCAAAUAUUCAAAUGAGAUCUUUGAAGACUGAAGUGGAGAAAGGUUCCAUAGGAAUAGUGAUUAUCUAUGGGUUAGUCGAUCCUAAGAGAUAAGUGAAAUCUGUUGAAAGUAUAACAUUUGGUUAUAAGUUAUCGAAAGGGAAUCAGGUUAAUAUUCCUGAACCAAAUAGUAUAAGAAACGGUAACGUAUAUUCCUCUUGAGACAUUUCUAUUAUUCCCAGGAAGAGUUUUCUUUUCUUGUUAACAAUAUUUGAGUGCUUGGAAUUAAUUCAGUUAGCGAUAAGCAUUGAAUAUUGGUAAAGUAGUAUACUAUUGUAUAUUAUCUGGUGCAAUGAUAGGGAUCCUUGAAAAUGAAGAGGUAAAAUCUUAGAAUAUUUGGUCGUACUAAUAACCGCAUCAGGUCUCCAAGGUGAAUAGCCUCUAGUUAAUAGAAUAAUGUAGAUAAGGGAAGUCGGCAAAUUAGAUCCGUAACUUCGGGAAAAGGAUUGGCUCUGAGGGCUAAGUGGAUAUGAGUGUUAGGUAUGUGUUGGUAUGGUAUGAGUGUUGUUUUUGAUGGCUUCGGUUGUUGAGAAUGGCAUUUAUAGUAUUCCUUCCCAUCCUGUCACUCUCCCACUAUGAAUAGCUAACUCAGAACUGGUACGGACAAGGGGAAUCCGACUGUUUAAUUAAAACAAAGCAUUGUGAUAGUGUGAAAGAUAUAUUGACACAAUGUGAAUUCUGCCCAGUGCUCUGAAUGUCAAAGUGGCGUAAUUCAACCAAGCGCGGGUAAACGGCGGGAGUAACUAUGACUCUCUUAAGGUAGCCAAAUGCCUCGUCAUCUAAUUAGUGACGCGCAUGAAUGGAUUAAUGAGAUUCCCACUGUCCCUAUCUACUAUCUAGCGAAACCACAGCCAAGGGAACGGGCUUGGAAAAAUCAGCGGGGAAAGAAGACCCUGUUGAGCUUGACUCUAGUUUAACAUUGUGAAAUGACUUUAGAGGUGUAGCAUAGGUGGGAGAAGCAAUUCGAUCCUGAAAUACCACUACUCUGAAUGUUGUUUUACUUAUUCCAUGAAAAAGGAUAGUAUAUUUGUAUACUGUUAAGAAGUAAAUUGGUUAAUCCAAUGACCUAAAUGGGAGACAUUGUUAGGUGGGGAGUUCGGCUGGGGCGGCACAUCUGUUAAAGAAUAACACAGGUGUCCUAAGAUGAGCUCAAUAAGAACAGAAAUCUUAUGUAGAACAAAAGGGUAAAAGCUCAUUUGAUUUUGGUUUUCAGUAUGAUCACAAACUAUGCAAGUAUGGCCUAUCGAUCCUUUAUAUUUAGUGAGAUCCUAGAUAGAGGUGUCAGAAAAGUUACCACAGGGAUAACUGGCUUGUGGCGGCCAAGAGUUCAUAUCGACGUCGCUUUUUGAUUCUUCGAUGUCGGCUCUUCCUAUCAUUGCGAAGCAGAAUUCGCCAAGUGUUGGAUUGUUCACCCACUAAUAGGGAACGUGAGCUGGGUUUAGACCGUCGUGAGACAGGUUAGUUUUACCCUACUGAUGAAGGCAUUGUCGUAACAGUAAUCAAACUUAGUACGAGAGGAACCGUUUGUUCAGAUAAUUGGUAAAUCCAUUUAACUGAAAAGUUAGUGAUGGGAAGCUAUCAUCUGUGGGAUUAUGACUGAACGCCUCUAAGUCAGAAUCCUUGCUGAAAUAAUACGAUGAUUCUCUAGUUUUAGAGGGAUAAUAUGUAUUUCACGUAAGAAUACUUUAUUCUUUUU
rnacentral:rRNA from 1 species